rnacentral:rRNA from 1 species
AUUGAACGCUGGCGGCAUGCUUUACACAUGCAAGUCGAACGGUAACAGGGUGCUUGCACCGCUGACGUGUGGCGAACGGGUGAGUAAUGCGUCGGAACGUGCCGAGUAGUGAGGGAUAACGCAGCGAAAGUUGUGCUAAUACCGCAUACGUACUGAGGUAGAAAGUGGGGGACCUUCGGGCCUCACGCUAUUCGAGCGGCCGACGUCUGAUUAGCUAGUAGGUGAGGUAAAGGCUCACCUAGGCGACGAUCAGUAGCGGGUCUGAGAGGAUGAUCCGCCACACUGGGACUGAGACACGGCCCAGACUCCUACGGGAGGCAGCAGUGGGGAAUUUUGGACAAUGGGCGAAAGCCCGAUCCAGCCAUGCCGCGUGUCUGAAGAAGGCCUUCGGGUUGUAAAGGACUUUUGUCGGGGAGGAAAUCCCCAGCGUUAAUACCGCUGGGGGAUGACAGUACCUGAAGAAUAAGCACCGGCUAACUACGUGCCAGCCGCCGCCGUAAUAC